CCUUAAUUGAUGUAGCCACCCCGUCCCAAUAAUGUCAACUCUUUUGUGCUUUAUAUACAAUUUACUUUGUAACUUGAUUACAUACAUGCCAUUGCAGCCUAUUAGAGUAUAUGUUGCAGUACGUGCUUGCUUUUGUAGUCACUUGCUACCUUUCAGCAAUCCUGCUUCCCUUAUCAGCCAUUGAAAGCUUUCAGGUCAUCAUUGGAAUACAAUAGUGUAUUCUGUUAAAUUCAUACAGCACAAAUGGACCAAUACCGGUAAGCCACAUGGCUUAAAGGAUGAAUCGGCACUUAGUGUCACCGGAGGCAUUUCAUUGUACCGGAGGUACCGCUUGGUCGGGAAGGCUGUUGGAAUAGCUCUGGAGGAGACCUCAACAGGCGGCCGUUACGGAUCAGGGGAAACGUUAUCCUCUGAUUUUAGUAGGCUUAAAGGUCCUCUUUAUUGUUAUUAUUAUUACUCAAUUAAUGCUCAUUAUGGGCAGGGGCAUAAUACAUGGAACAUGUGCCCCUAGCUCUUAGUAUAAAUAGGGAUUGUCAUUCCCAUUGUAAGGAAAUGAAAUUCAAGAGAAAACAUGGC